rnacentral:lncRNA from 1 species
UGGGUAAUGCAUGAAUUGGCAAAGUUGGUUGACAACAUAAGAAAUGUCUGGUCAUGUAAUAAUGCAAUAUUAAAAUGCACCAACAAUCAUUCUGUGUUCACUAGGAUCUAAAAGUAAAUAACCAUCUUGGGGGACAAUUUCGAUCAUUUAUCGUUGGAGAGGAUGGUGGCUUUGCUCCAGCCAUAUUGUUUCGAUGCAAGAGUUCAAUAAUGUAUUUUCCUUGACCCAAGUGAAUACCAUGAGAGUCAUGGCAAGCAUGGACUCAUAGAAAGUAACUAAAACUUUCAAGAUCUUUGAGUUGAAAUUGACUUCCCAAUGUAGUAAUAAACUGAGUGAUAGCCAUUACAUUUGUCCCUGAUACGAUGAUAUCAUCUACGCAGACAUGAACAAAGAUUUGUAAGUGAUUUUUACCAUAAACAAAUAGAGAUGAAUCAAUGGAAGAUUCAAGGAAACCAUAUUCAAGUAGUUGUUGUGAGAGUCUUCAAAACCAUGUUCUUAGAGCUUAUUUUAGCCCAUAGAGAGAUUUAUGAAGUCUACAGACAAAAUAUAGUUGGGACUCAUCAAGAAAUCCUUUUGGCUGCUCCAUAAACACCUCCUCAUCCAAUAUGCUAUGUGAAAAGGCAUUUGAAACAUCCAGUUGCCAAAUAGGCCAAUGAAAAUUAACUAUCAAGGCUAGAAUUAAAUGAAGAGUUGAAGAUUUAAUUGCUAGAGAAAAUGUCUCAUGAUAAUCUACACCAUCACAUUGAUCAAAGCCUUUGGCAACCAAUCGUGUCUUUUACAUCUCUACCUGCCAUUUUGCUUUCUUUUUAUUUGGUAUACCCAUUUGUUAUGAACCACGAGUUUACUAAGUAGUCGUGAACAUUAGGACCAAGUACCAUUGGCCAUUAAUAUAUCAAACUCACCUUCCAUAGCAUCCCGCCAUUCAGAGCUAGACAUAGCCUAUGUGAAACAACUAGGUUCUUGUUCAUGAUAAAUACUAGACAACACACGAAGAGAGUGUUUGGUGGAUAAAAAACUUUUGAAGCCAGGGAAUUGUUUGGGCUUAAGUUUUUCAAUUUUGGAUUUAGUUACCAACUAUUGAAUUAGAUGUUUCAGAGAUAAAGCUUUGGGAUCAGGAUAAGGAGAUGGUAAGAUAAGAUUUG